rnacentral:rRNA from 1 species
UGAUCCUGGCUCAGAACGAACGCUGGCGGCAGGCUUAACACAUGCAAGUCGAGCGCCCYGCAAGGGGAGCKGCAGACGGGUGAGUAACGCGUGGGAAUYUACCCUUUUSUACGGAAUAACGCAGGGAAACUUGUGYUAAUACCGUAUGASCCCUUCGGGGGAAAGAUUUWUCGGGAAAGGAUGAGCCCGCGUUGGWUUAGCUAGUUGGUGGGGUAAAGGCCUACCAAGGSGACGAUCCAUAGCUGGUCUGAGAGGAUGAUCAGCCACAUUGGGACUGAGACACGGCCCAAACUCCUACGGGAGGCAGCAKUGGGGAAUAUUGGACAAUGGGCGCAA